AGAGUUUGAUCCUGGCUCAGGAUGAACGCUAGCGGCAGGCUUAACACAUGCAAGUCGAGGGGCAGCAUAAUGGAUAGCAAUAUCUAUGGUGGCGACCGGCGCACGGGUGCGUAACGCGUAUGCAACCUACCUUUAACAGGGGGAUAACACUGAGAAAUUGGUACUAAUACCCCAUAAUAUCAUAGAAGGCAUCUUUUAUGGUUGAAAAUUCCGAUGGUUAGAGAUGGGCAUGCGUUGUAUUAGCUAGUUGGUGGGGUAACGGCUCACCAAGGCGACGAUACAUAGGGGGACUGAGAGGUUAACCCCCCACACUGGUACUGAGACACGGACCAGACUCCUACGGGAGGCAGCAGUGAGGAAUAUUGGUCAAUGGACGGAAGUCUGAACCAGCCAUGCCGCGUGCAGGAUGACGGCUCUAUGAGUUGUAAACUGCUUUUGUACGAGGGUAAACGCAGAUACGUGUAUCUGUCUGAAAGUAUCGUACGAAUAAGGAUCGGCUAACUCCGUGCCAGCAGCCGCGGUAAUACGGAGGAUCCGAGCGUUAUCCGGAUUUAUUGGGUUUAAAGGGUGCGUAGGCUGUUUUUUAAGUUAGAGGUGAAAGCUCGACGCUCAACGUCGAAAUUGCCUCUGAUACUGAGAGACUAGAGUGUAGUUGCGGAAGGCGGAAUGUGUGGUGUAGCGGUGAAAUGCUUAGAUAUCACACAGAACACCGAUUGCGAAGGCAGCUUUCCAAGCUAUUACUGACGCUGAGGCACGAAAGCGUGGGGAGCGAACAGGAUUAGAUACCCUGGUAGUCCACGCAGUAAACGAUGAUAACUCGUUGCCGGCGAUACACAGUCGGUGACUUAGCGAAAGCGUUAAGUUAUCCACCUGGGGAGUACGUUCGCAAGAAUGAAACUCAAAGGAAUUGACG
rnacentral:rRNA from 1 species